CUGCUGUAGUGAAACACACAUGGACAAUGAUUCUUCAUUCAGUCAUCCUACUUUGGACCUUGUCAUGUGUGAGUUUUGGAGUUGAAAUCACACCAGACAGCACUGAGGAAUCUGCUGCAGUGGGUUCAACUGUUACUUUAUCCUGCAGUUAUUCCUCUGCAGAAUCACUUCAGUGGUACCGUCAGUAUCCCGGAUCAGCUCCUCAAUUUCUUGUGCUUAUAAUUGAGAGUGUGAAAGAGACUAAGCCAUCUAAUGUAGAUCCCAGGUUCUCUACUAAGCUCAGAAAAGAAAGACAAUCCACAAAAGAGAUCAGCCGUGUGGAUCUGAUCAUCUCCUCUGCUGCUGUAUCAGACUCUGCUCUGUACUACUGUGCUCUGAGGCCCACAGUCACAGGAAACACAAGAACACUCUACAAAAACCUGUCAUGUGAAAAAGCAUAACUAUACCUUCUACAAAUCAGACUAAACAGACUAGAGCAGCCUCAUCACCUGGGGAAAAAACAAAUGAUUCCAA